rnacentral:rRNA from 1 species
AGGACGACGCUGGCGGCGUGCCUAACACAUGCAAGUCGAGCGGGGACAUGCGACGGACCUGAAGAUUUCGGUUGGAAGGAAAGAUGUAUUGUUCUAGCGGCGGACGGGUGAGUAACGCGUGAGCAACCUGUCCCUUACAGGGGGAUAACACAGCGAAAGUUGUACUAAUACCGCAUGAGACCACAGUGAGACAUCUCACAGGGGUCAAAGGAGCAAUCCGGUAAGGGGUGGGCUCGCGUCCGAUUAGAUAGUUGGUGAGGUAACGGCCCACCAAGUCGACGAUCGGUAGCCGACCUGAGAGGGUGAUCGGCCACAUUGGGACUGAGACACGGCCCAAACUCCUACGGGAGGCAGCAGUGGGGAAUAUUGGGCAAUGGGGGGAAACCCUGACCCAGCAACGCCGCGUGAGGGAAGAAGGUUUUCGGAUCGUAAACCUCUGUCCUUGGUGAAGAGGAAGAGACGGUAGCCAAGGAGGAAGCCCCGGCUAACUACGUGCCAGCAGCGGC